UCAGAUGGCCGGGCGGCUGCUGGUCAGGUCGUAAGGCCUGGCUGGAGGAAAGUCCGGGCUCCAUGAAGACAAGGCGGCGGGUAACACCCGCCCGGCGUGAGCCGAGGGAUAGUGCCACAGAAAGCAAACCGCCCGCCUAUGCAGGUUCGCCUGUUUCGGCGCGGUAAGGGUGAAAGGGUGCGGUAAGAGCGCACCGCGGGACUGGCGACAGAACCGGCACGGUAAACCCCGCCUGGAGCAAGACCAAAUAGGGAAGGCACAGGGUGCGUCUGCACACCGUCUUCCGGGUCGGUCGCGUGAGGUGAUGAGCAAUCAUCAUCCCAGAGGAAUGGUCGCCACUCCAAUUUAUUGGAGGACAGAACCCGGCUUACAGGCCAUCUGAUCCC
rnacentral:RNase_P_RNA from 1 species